rnacentral:rRNA from 1 species
AGCUUGCUGCUUUGCUGACGAGUGGCGGACGGGUGAGUAAUGUCUGGGAAACUGCCUGAUGGAGGGGGAUAACUACUGGAAACGGUGGCUAAUACCGCAUAACGUCGCAAGACCAAAGAGGGGGACCUUCGGGCCUCUUGCCAUCAGAUGUGCCCAGAUGGGAUUAGCUUGUUGGUGAGGUAACGGCUCACCAAGGCGACGAUCCCUAGCUGGUCUGAGAGGAUGACCAGCCACACUGGAACUGAGACACGGUCCAGACUCCUACGGGAGGCAGCAGUGGGGAAUAUUGCACAAUGGGCGCAAGCCUGAUGCAGCCAUGCCGCGUGUAUGAAGAAGGCCUUCGGGUUGUAAAGUACUUUCAGCGGGGAGG